rnacentral:piRNA from 1 species
UGAAUUUGACAUUGCAUUCUC